rnacentral:rRNA from 1 species
AGUGAACGCUGGCGGUAGGCCUAACACAUGCAAGUCGAACGGCAGCACAGGAGAGCUUGCUCUCUAGGUGGCGAGUGGCGGACGGGUGAGGAAUACAUCGGAAUCUGCCCAGUCGUGGGGGAUAACGUAGGGAAACUUACGCUAAUACCGCAUACGACCUUCGGGUGAAAGAGGGGGAUCGCAAGACCUCUCGCGAUUGGAUGAGCCGAUGUCGGAUUAGCUAGUUAGCGGGGUAAUGGCCCACCAAGGCGACGAUCCGUCGCUGGUCUGAGAGGAUGAUCAGCCACACUGGAACUGAGACACGGUCCAGACUCCUACGGGAGGCAGCAGUGGGGAAUAUUGGACAAUGGGCGCAAGCCUGAUCCAGCCAUACCGCGUGGGUGAAGAAGGCCUUCGGGUUGUAAAGCCCUUUUGUUGGGAAAGAAAUCUUUCAGGCUAAUACCCUGGGAGGAUGACGGUACCCAAAGAAUAAGCACCGGCUAACUUCGU